ACGGAUUGAAUCGUAGAUAACGGAGACCAAACAAGAUGACAACUUCCGUGUGUGUUACCCCAACGAUUUCGUAAAACCAUCGCAGAAAGUUUUCUCCUCGUUCCCCUCGCAGCACAGCUUCGUCUUCGCCAAGUCAAUUUUCUAUACCAAUACAGUUUAUAAGUUGGAAAUGCUGAUUUGACGGUAAUUCUGGUUGCACUUUAUCCAGUCACGACUGGUGGGUUUGUUGGCAAAUAUAUACUUCACGGUGAUGGUCCUGGAGCAGUAGAAUUUCUUAGAUAUCAUUUUCAAGCUUCAACAUUUGGUGAUAACUCUAUUCAGAGCCCAGAGUUGUCUAGAGAUUGGGAGGUAUUUUUUUCUGUGAGAUCCAUUAAUAGAUCGUGGACUUGAAGAAAAUUGAAAAAUUCUGCAUCAAUGUUGAACUUGUUUAGUCCCAGGAGGCUACCUUGGAUAUCUGGUACAGAUGGUCAGAAAAAGGUAGUUUUAACUGCUGUAGAAGUAGAAUCUCUUCGGUCAGAAAUUGCUGCUUUGGAAGAAAGAGAAGCUCAUUUAAAAGC